rnacentral:rRNA from 1 species
CAGCAGUAGCCGCGGUAAUACGGAGGGUGCAAGCGUUAAUCGGAAUUACUGGGCGUAAAGCGCGCGCAGGCGGUUUGUUAAGUCAGAUGUGAAAUCCCCGAGCUUAACUUGGGAACUGCAUUUGAAACUGGCAAGCUAGAGUCUUGUAGAGGGGGGUAGAAUUCCAGGUGUAGCGGUGAAAUGCGUAGAGAUCUGGAGGAAUACCGGUGGCGAAGGCGGCCCCCUGGACAAAGACUGACGCUCCGGUGCGAAAGCGUGGGGAGCAAACAGGAUUAGAUACCCCUGUAGUCCCUGUCUCUUAUAC